UACGAAGGGGGCUAGCGUUGCUCGGAAUCACUGGGCGUAAAGGGUGCGUAGGCGGGUCUUUAAGUCAGGGGUGAAAUCCUGGAGCUCAACUCCAGAACUGCCUUUGAUACUGAAGAUCUUGAGUUCGGGAGAGGUGAGUGGAACUGCGAGUGUAGAGGUGAAAUUCGUAGAUAUUCGCAAGAACACCAGUGGCGAAGGCGGCUCACUGGCCCGAUACUGACGCUGAGGCACGGAAA
rnacentral:rRNA from 1 species